ACAGCAGCAGCCGCGGUAAUACGAAGGGUGCAAGCGUUACUCGGAAUUACUGGGCGUAAAGCGUGCGUAGGUGGUGGUUUAAGUCCGUUGUGAAAGCCCUGGGCUCAACCUGGGAAUUGCAGUGGAUACUGGGUCACUAGAGUGUGGUAGAGGAUAGUGGAAUUUCCGGUGUAGCAGUGAAAUGCGUAGAGAUCGGGAGGAACAUCAGUGGCGAAGGCGGCCAUCUGGGACAACACUGACGCUGAGGCACGAAAGCGUGGGGAGCAAACAGGAUUAGAUACCCCUGUAGUCCCUGUCUCUUAUAC
rnacentral:rRNA from 1 species